GGAGAAUCUUAGAUUUUCUUAAUGUUCUGUAGAAUAUAUAGCAAUGCAGCAACAAGGAUGUUGCUGCAAGUAAAAGCCGCGGCAUGGAUGUCACGUCUUUUACGGUUGCGGGAAUAUUAUGUAUGUAGGCAGAACAUUAUAGAAAAUGUUAG
rnacentral:ncRNA from 1 species